ACAUCGAUGGUGAAACGGUAUCAUGCUUGCCUUCCAUUCUUGUGAGCAAGCGGCACGGGUUCGACUCCCGUUCGAUGUA
rfam:Pleurotus ostreatus PC15 unplaced genomic scaffold scaffold_04, whole genome shotgun sequence.